CCUACGGGAGGCAGCAGUGGGGAAUUUUGCGCAAUGGGGGAAACCCUGACGCAGCAACGCCGCGUGAGUGAUGAAGGCCUUCGGGUCGUAAAGGUCGAUCAGUAUGGAAGAAGUGUCAUGGUUCUCAUACCACCUUAACUUGACGGUACCUACAAAGGAAGCACCGGCUAACUCCGUGCCAGCAGCCGCGGUAAU
rnacentral:rRNA from 1 species